rnacentral:tRNA from 1 species
GUCCCUGUAGCGCGAUGGUUAACGCUAAUCCAAAGGGCGUGGGUUCGAAUCCCACCUGGAAUG